CUCCCAGCCCCACCGCGGGCGCUAGGUGAGAGGCGGGCAGGUUCCGGCGACCGCGGAGGAGUCUACGCUUGAAAACCAGUUUGAAAGUGCUUUACAAAGUCACCCCUUUGAGGUCAGCUCCAUUUUCACAUUUGCUUUCAUGUAAACGACAGUGAUGUUUUAAAGAUGCUGUCCAGUGAUCUCGCUAGAAAAUGUGAAGCAGUCAGGGCAUUUAUAGCUCUAUUUUACAAAUAAAUUAGCUGAGUCGGCCUGAGAUUAGAAGCCUUGCCCGAGGCCACGCAGCUGACAGUGGUGUAACUGGACCGUCGCGCAGGCUCCCCUUGCUAAAGAACCCGACACUGGAACUUUGUUAAUGCUAAUGAGACCAUCGCGUGAGUUUGUAAGGAACUUCAAAACCUUCCUAGAAACCUCUCCUACCGGCUGGAUUCGCCGUAGAUUCUGACCUUCCCAACAAUUCAGACCUCAAGUCUGAGGCAGACCAGCUGCGUGUAGAGGACAAGUCCUGGACUAGCUCAGGGGACUACAGAGCUCCCAUUCCUGGAGAUCGUGGCCAUGAUCCCUCCUCUGGGACUCAAGACGGGGCGUAAGUGACUCCCGGAUUCCAAGCCUACACUGAGAUCUGAGGCGGCUCUGUCCAAGGGUUAGAGAGCCGGAAGCUCUCAUCUAGCCGCCUGGGGCGGGGCUGGGGCGCGCGCAGCCGCAGCACCCCUAUCCCCAAACCAGUGCAGCUGCCCGGGGCACCCUGAUCUAAAGACAUCAGGGCAACUUGUUUCUUCUCCCGCUGAAAAGAACUGAAACACUGAAACCCAAGCUCAGAGGUUCGCAAAACAAAGACAUCUUUUCCCGCCUGUUCUAUCCGGCUUGUCUGGCCCCGCAAUUCGCGACCUCACUCCCAGGGUCAGCGUCCUGUACUCAGUACGGUGUACUGGGAUCCCACGCGCCCGUCCAGGACCGCCGACCCGGGGGAGUUGCCCUCCGCUGCGCCAGGAACUGGGCAGGAAGUUCAGCUCCCAGUUCUUUCCUUUCUCCAGCUUUUUCGUUCAGUCUGGGGGUGGGGGUGGGGAGGUGGAAUCCUGAAGUGGCCGUUAGGGAUUGGGCGGCUCUGGGAUUCCUGUCGACAAAGAGCAUGCUUCAGGGAGCGGGGAGCGUGGGCCCCUAAGGACACCUGGACACCGGAACUGGCUCAAGUCCCCUCCUGGCUGAUAAAGGUGUGGGCAGAUGAGCUGGGGGAUCUAAGGCCUGCCGUGUGCCUAGCAGACAAGCAGCUAUUUUGUCCACCUGCUUCCUGGCUCCCUGAACAUGUGGCACAAAAAUCUUCAAAUCAUCAAAGAGGCCAGACCACUACCAUUUCUCAAGCAUCCCUGAAUGUUCAAAGAAGAGGGCAUCCCUCGUGGCCCAGUGUUAAGAAUGCACCUGCCACUGCAGGGGAACAUGGGUUCGAUCCCUAGCCUGGGAAGAUCUCACAUGUGGCAAGGCAGCUAAACCAAUGAGCUGCAACUGCUGAGCCCACACACCUUAGAGUCCCUUCUCCAAAACAAGAGAAACCACAGAAAGAGAAGCCCAUCCACCCCAAGAAACUAUAGUCCCUGAUAACUACAACUAGAGAAAGCCCGGAACACGGUAAUUAAAAUCCAGCACAGCAAAAUAAACUAAUUAAUUAUUUUUAAAAAAGAAGAAAUUCCAAAACAGAAUCAUAGAUAAGGUGGCUCCUAUUAAACCUCUGUAUUGGAGAAGACAAAAAGAUAAUGUCAUAGAGUAGUGUUGUUCACAAGAUAAUGGAUUGUUUAAAAAAUAUAAUUUAUCUGCUAAGACCUGAA